UUGGAGGGCAAGUCUGGUGCCAGCAGCCGCGGUAAUUCCAGCUCCAAUAGCGUAUAUUAAAGUUGUUGCAGUUAAAAAGCUCGUAGUUGAAUUUCGGGAUUAGUACGCUGGUCGUGCCUUCGGUACGUACUGGUGUUACUGAUUCCUACCUUCUGACGAACCAUCAUGUCAUUUAUUUGGUGUGGUGGGGAAUCUGGACUGUUACUUUGAAAAAAUUAGAGUGUUUAAAGCAGGCUCGCGCUUGAAUACAUUAGCAUGGAAUAAUGAAAUAGGACGUCGAUCCUAUUUUGUUGGUUUCUAGGAUUGACGUAAUGAUUAAUAGGGAUAGUUGGGGGCAUUAGUAUUCAAUUGUCAGAGGUGAAAUUCUUGGAUUUAUUGAAGACUAACUACUGCGAAAGCAUUUGCCAAGGAUGUUUUCAUUAAUCAAGAACGAAAGUUAGGGGAUCGAAGACGAUCAGAUACCGUCGUAGUCUUAACCAUAAACUAUGCCGACUAGGGAUCGGAUGAUGUUAUUUUUAAUGACUCAUUCGGCGCCUUACGGGAAAC
rnacentral:rRNA from 1 species